rnacentral:rRNA from 1 species
GGGUCAGUAGGUUGGUCGUGCCACCGGUACGUACUGGUCUCACUGAUUCCUCCUUCCUGAAGAACCGUAAUGCCAUUAAUUUGGUGUUGCGGGGAAACAGGACUGUUACUUUGGAAAAAUUAGAGUGUUUAAAGCAAGCUAACGCUUGAAUACAUUAGCAUGGAAUAAUGGAAUAGGACGAUCGAUCCUAUUUUGUUGGUUUCUAGGAUUGACGUA